rnacentral:tRNA from 1 species
GGUCCAGAAGCUCAAUGAGAGAGCCUUAAGACCUAUGGAUCUGUGCUGUGGGUUCAAGUCCCGCCUGGACCU